ensembl:lncRNA
GUAUGUGUCUCACAUUCUACUUUCCAGAUACAGUAAGCCACAUAUGGAUAAAAUCAAUCUGCCAAAUCAAUGAAGUUGAAAUGUAAAUGUUUUUAAAAGUUUUAGGGUUUGCACAAUUGAAAGAUCAAUAAAAGAUAGUUUAAUCAGCUCAUCUAAGGAGUAAUGUAUUAAUGCAAACUUGGUGGUUGUUGCAGAAAUAAAAGGGGUCACUCUUAAAAGCUGUCACGUAAAUUAUUCAGUGUUCGACUAUUUCGGGGGACACUAAUUUAAAAUCAGUGUUGCAUAAGAGUGUAAGCACUAGACCUACCUAUAUUUUUAGAGAAUGCCGUCUUUUUUCAGUCAGUGAAUUCAUUCUAAUGCCGUCUUCAGCAUGUCAUAUGGAUAGCAGUCGAGGUCUAAGGAUUUUAAGCAGCAAUUUGUUCUAAAUCUCAAGGGCUGUCUUUGAGGUGAGAAAAGCAAAAAAAAAAAAGAACUAUCCGGCUUAUGUGCCCUAUCUCUUUGGUCGAUGUAUAGAAACCUUAAAAGCAAAUCAUGAGAAAGUACAUGCUUAUGCAACAUACAUACAAUUUUAUAUCAUAGAGUUUGCAAAUGACUUGCGAUAUUACACCAGGGCUGAUGUGCUGAAACACUCAAAUCAUACUGAAUAAACUCUUACACAAUGCUUACACAGUGUUUAGCUGCACUUUUACUUACAAAUAGUGUAUGUGUUCAUUCACCACUGUGCACCAGUUUAAAUGGCCUGCAUUAAUACAAGUUCACUUACUAGAUAAAGGACUUCGAUCUCAUGAAAGCUCUAUCCAUUUCUCUCUCUCUCUCUCUCUCUGUAUCUCUCUCUCUGUCUCUGUCUUUCUGUCUGUGUUUCUCUCGCUCUCUGUCUCUGUGUUUCUGCUCUGUCUUUCUGUCUCCGUGUUUCUCUCGCUCUCUGUCUCUGUGUUUCUGCUCUGUCUUUCUGUCUCCGUGUUUCUCUCGCUCUCUGUCUCUGUGUUUCUCGCUCUGUCUUUCUGUCUCCGUGUUUCUCUCGCUCUCUGUCUCUGUGUUUCUCGCUCUGUCUUUCUGUCUCUGUGUUUCUCUCGCUCUCUGUCUCUGUGUUUCUCGCUCUGUCUUUCUGUCUCUGUGUUUCUCUCGCUCUCUGUCUCUGUGUUUCUCGCUCCGUCUUUCUCUCUCUGUGUUUCUCUCGCUCUCUCUCUGUGUUUCUCUUGCUCUCUCUCUCUCGCUCUGUCUUUCUGUCUCUGUGUUUCUCUCUCUCUCUCUCUGUGUUUCUCUUGCUCUCUCUCGCUCUGUCUUUCUCUAUCUCUCUCUCUUUCGCUCUCUCUUUCUGUGUGUGUGUGUGUGUGUGUGUGUGUGUGUGUGUGUGUGUGUGUGUGUGUGUGUGCGCAGUAUAUUUAUGCUCCAUUUAUCUAAUUAAACACUGAAUAUACUCGUUCAACCCUGGAGCUUUUGCUGUAACCUGAGAGUCCAACUUUUUCUUGAAUCGAGCACAAAUGUAUGCAGUGUUCACUUACUUGCUCUUUGAGCCGCUCAUGUCUGAAACCGGACGAUAAUUCAGCUUCGCUCCAGCUGUUCCUCUUCUGGCACUUCUACAACAAGCAAAAAUAAAUAAAUACAUACAUACAUACAUACAUACAUACAUACAUACAUACAUACAUACAUACAUACAUAAAUAAAUAACGGGGAAAAAAGAAAAAGAAAUAAAGAAAAACUGAAACUACUUUUCAACUUUAAGAGUGUUCAAAUCACUCGAAAACCAAACAAAACACAUGCA